AUUGAACGCUGGCGGCAGGCCUAACACAUGCAAGUCGAACGAGUGGCGGACGGGUGCGUAAUGUCUGGGAAACUGCUUGAUGGAGGGGGAUAACUCCUGGAAACGGUAGCUAAUACCGCAUACCAUCAGAUGUGCCCAGAUGGGAUUAGCUAGUUGGUGGGGUAACGGCUCACCAAGGCGACGAUCCCUAGCUGGUCUGUGAGGAUGACCAGCCACACAGGAGCUUAGACACAGUCCUGACUCCUACGGAAGGCAGAAGUGGGGAAUAUUGCACAAUGGGCCCAAGCGUGAUGCAGCCAUGCCGCGUGUAUGAAGAAGGCCUUCGAGUUGUAAAGUCCUUUCAGCGGGGAGGCGUUACCCGCAGAAGAAGCACCGGCUAACUCCGUGCCGACAGCCGCGGUAAUAC
rnacentral:rRNA from 1 species